rnacentral:rRNA from 1 species
AUUGAACGCUGGCGGUAUGCUUAACACAUGCAAGUCGAACGAGUGGCGGACGGGUGAGUAAUGCAUAGGAAUCUACCUGUUAGUCUAGGAUAACUAACCGAAAGGGUGGCUAAUACUGAAUGCUAAGAGAUGCGCCUAUGUGGGAUUAGCUAGUUGGUGGGGUAAUGGCCCACCAAGGCGACGAUCUCUAGCUGGUUUGAGAGGAUGAUCAGCCACACUGGGACUGAGACACGGCCCAGACUCCUACGGGAGGCAGCAGGGGGGAAUAUUGGACAAUGGGCGAAAGCCUGAUCCAGCCAUACCGCGUGUGUGAAGAAGGCCCUAGGGUUGUAAAGUACUUUCGGUAGCGAGACGUUAACUACAGAAGAAGCACCGGCUAACUCCGUGCCAGCAGCCGCGGUAAUAC